UGGGACUAUGUGAUCGAAUUUAUCCC
rnacentral:piRNA from 1 species